UCACUGGUACUGAUUGACGAUCGGACACACAUAACGCCAAACAAUGGAUUUCCGUACUUAACCUUUGAUGCCUUCAUAGCACUUAUUGGCCGUUUGGUUGUUGACUGUAUUGGUGUUCGACUCGUUUACUGUCGAGACUUCGUCGUGUUUAUUGAGCCAAAAGUAGAUAAAAGGAUUAUAACAAACGGAUGACAUGGCUAUCCAGUGACAGA